rnacentral:lncRNA from 1 species
UCAUGGAUCACUCUCACUCCAAGAGACAACCUCACUGGAGAGAGAGAGGGAGAGAGCAAGGAAGAGAGAGAGAGAGAGAGAGAGAGAGAGAGAGAGAGAGAGAGAGAGAGAGAGAGAGAGAGAGAAAAAAGCCAGGGAGAACGGGGAGAAGUGUGAAGCGAGUAAGAGGGGAAAAAAGUCAGAGUAGAGAGAAGCAGAGGGAAGAGAGAGUGAAGAGAGAGGGAAGAGAGAGAGAGAGAGAGAGAGAGAGAUAAAGAGAGAGAGAGAGAGAGAGAGAGAGGGGUAGGGAAGAGAAAAUCCAGCGGAGGGAGCAGAGACAAAGCAUGAUGGAGGAAGUGAAGUGUACUCGGCAGCAUGUGGACCAUGUGCUCAGCAUGUAACUGCGGAGUGUCGCGCCCUGGAAAGGUGUCUGCAACCCCGGGCUCCCUCCUGCACGACUCUUGGUGUUUGCAACAGCAAGGGGCGGAGGAAGAAAACUGGAGUCUGGAGAUAGACAACCAGAAGAAGCUGAAAUCGCCAAGGUGAAGAUGAUUGACAAAGUGGAGAUGAUUGACAUUGGUCAUCCAUUCUUCUACCGCCAACUUGAAGCAACUGUGGGAAGCACUGGAGUCAACAUGGGCCAGCAUUGUAGGCGAGGGGUAGCCUGGUGUGUAGGAACGUUGGGACACUAACCAAAAGAAUGGAUCCUGAUGAUCAUGAUGAAGAUUCUGAAGAUUCUUCCAAGCAGCAAAGUCAUCCACGUGGAUCCUCUCUAUCUGUGACCCAGUCCCUCGAUCUCCCCAUCCCUCUCCUCCAUUCAUUUACUCUGUAUUUGCGUGUUGGUCAGUUGCUCAGUAGGCAGUGUAGAUCCUGUAUAAUGAUCAGCAGCUACAUCUGGCUACUGGGUCUCUGAAGACACGCCUCCUACUUCCUGCCUAGUGGUUAAUUGCACAUUUCAUUUCUCUCUGAUUGGCUAGUAUGUUAUCAUAUGGGGGGGUUACAUCCUAUGAAUCUCUCUGUGCCUGUCAGGGCUUUAUUUCUGAUUCUUUUCUUUCUGUCUCUUUUCUUUUUAAUCUCUUCUUUUUCUCUCCUCUCCUGUCAAAUCUCUUCUCCCGCUGUAGCGUCCUUGGCGGUGAGCCAUUCAAAGGGUUCUUGGUAUUCUUUAAUGAAUUGUGCUGUUUUCUAAAAGAUGCUGACUGGCGGCCCAUAGAAAAGAGAUUGACGAGAGCAGAGAAAAACAUGUCAGGCACAAUAGAAAAGAGCCUUUAAGAGAGGAGAGCAUUGUUUAGGAUGUGAUGCAUGCAGUUUCCCUAGAAAUCACUCAAUAGAGAACAGAUGAAAUGCCACAUUCUAUGAUAACUCUGUGUGUAUGCAUGGGUGCGUGAGUGGGUGCGGGUGUGUUUGUGUGUGUGUGUGUGUGUGUGUGUGUGUGUGUGUGUGUGUGUGUGUGUGUGUGUGUGUGUGUGUGUGUGUGUGUGUGUGUGUGUGUGUGUGUGUGUGUGUGUGUGUGUUUGUGUGUGUGUGUGUGUGUGCGUGAGACAGCUGAUGAGACAUCUUUGCUUGGUCCUGGACCUAGCAUACAAUGUAGAUUUCUGUGUGGUUUAAGCUACAGCUACAUUGUCUGCUGGGUUUUAGGCUGGCAACAAAAACAGCCUUGAACCGCUGAAGGAUUUCAAUAACUGGCAACAUAAACAGCCUUCAACAGCUGAAGGAUUCAAUAACUGGCAACAAAAACAGCCUUCAACAGCUGAAGGAUUCAAUAACUGGCAACAUAAACAGCCUUCAACAGCUGAAGGAUUCAAUAACUGGCAACAAAAACAGCCUUCAACAGCUGAAGGAUUCAAUAACUGGCAACAAAAACAGCCUUCAACAGCUGAAGGAUUCAAUAACUGGCAACAAAAACAGCCUUCAACAGCUGAAGGAUUCAAUAACUGGCAACAUAAACAGCCUUCAACAGCUGAAGGAUUCAAUAACUGGCAACAUAAACAGCCUUCAACAGCUGAAGGAUUUAAUAACUGGCAACAAAAACAGCCUUCAACAGCUGAAGGAUUCAAUAACUGGCAACAAAAACAGCCUUCAACAGCUGAAGGAUUCAAUAACUGGCAACAAAAACAGCCUUCAACAGCUGAAGGAUUUAAUAACUGGCAACAAAAACAGCCUUCAACAGCUGAAGGGUUCAAUAACUCAAUGACUCAACGAGGUAAGUUCACAUUCAUUCUGCAACUAUGUGUCAAAUGUUUCACAUUGAAAAUACAAUAAUUGAAAAAUAUGUAAUAAACAUAUAUAUACACAAGUA